UUUGCUCUUUGGAUCAAAGAAGAGGUUCAUCUUAAUUGAUCAAGCCUAUCUCCCUUAUCAUUUUCAUUUCAUAUACCAGAAUGAAAGAAAUGGCAUUCAUGCUAUGAUUCUUAUGAGAGAACAGUUUACUACAUCAGUAGACAAGUGAGAGGAGCAAGCCAAUUUACCUAAGGAAACAACUGAAAAACUCUCUUUAUUUCCUAUUUCCCGUGUUUUUUACUAGUCGAAGCUGGUUUUAUUUCCUUUUCGAAUGGUCUAGCUAUGAAUGAUGAUCACUUUUAGGCCAUCCUUAUCAGUCGAGCUUUGCGAUAGCUGAGCAAUCGAAGCUAAGCCCGAAACAGAAAGAAGAGAAAGAUUGACUUUCACCGCAAACCGUAAGAUUCAAGAUAAGUUGUGAUCUCAACAGCUGAAAGCAGAAUGCGGAAAGCAAAAGCUACAGAGUUUUCUAUACGACCUCCAAAGCCAAAAGCCUCCUCUCUCCUUUAACAAAGCCAACUGCCCGUGA
rnacentral:lncRNA from 1 species